GAACGAGUGGCGGACGGGUGAGUAACACGUGGGUAACCUGCCCUUAAGUGGGGGAUAACAUUUGGAAACAGAUGCUAAUACCGCAUAGAUCCAAGAACCGCAUGGUUCUUGGCUGAAAGAUGGCGUAAGCUAUCGCUUUUGGAUGGACCCGCGGCGUAUUAGCUAGUUGGUGAGGUAAUGGCUCACCAAGGCGAUGAUACGUAGCCGAACUGAGAGGUUGAUCGGCCACAUUGGGACUGAGACACGGCCCAAACUCCUACGGGAGGCAGCAGUAGGGAAUCUUCCACAAUGGACGCAAGUCUGAUGGAGCAACGCCGCGUGAGUGAAGAAGGCUUUCGGGUCGUAAAACUCUGUUGUUGGAGAAGAAUGGUCGGCAGAGUAACUGUUGUCGGCGUGACGGUAUCCAACCAGAAAGCCACGGCUAACUACGUGCCAGCAGCCGCGGUAAUACGUAGGUGGCAAGCGUUAUCCGGAUUUAUUGGGCGUAAAGCGAGCGCAGGCGGUUUUUUAAGUCUGAUGUGAAAGCCCUCGGCUUAACCGAGGAAGCGCAUCGGAAACUGGGAAACUUGAGUGCAGAAGAGGACAGUGGAACUCCAUGUGUAGCGGUGAAAUGCGUAGAUAUAUGGAAGAACACCAGUGGCGAAGGCGGCUGUCUGGUCUGUAACUGACGCUGAGGCUCGAAAG
rnacentral:rRNA from 1 species